AUGGCAUCACUUGGGCACCAACACCUCCAGAGGGAGUGGCACCACCGGGAUGGCCAUGGCCCCCCGUAUCCAGCUGGAAUCACCGUCUCACCGACAGGAGGGGCUGCAGGAACCGGUGCAAAUCCCUGGGGUGGCCUCGGCUCUCACUAUGGCACCUUUAGAGCUGAAAAAGAAUGUUUUCAGUCACAACAGGGCUUUACACAGCCCCAGAGCCACCCCCAAGCCCCUACUGCUGCCAGCUCCAUCUCCCAGGCAUCCGCCUGCGAGGAUGAGCCCGGGCAGGAGCAAAGGGCUGAACCUCAGUGCAAACCAGUUUGCCCAGCAGCUGCUCCCACACUCACCAGAGCGCAUCCCGUCCGUGGCAAAGCCGGUGCCAGGCUGGAAGGGCCUGUCCUGCUCGGGAAGAGGAACCCAGGCGGUGCCCGUGCUGGGAGAACCGAGCCCGGGGCCAGGAGGGUCACCGGCUCUCCCGGAGACUCCAGCCCACCCGCUCCCGGUCUCGGGGGGACGCGGCAAUGCAGAGCCCCCGGGGCCGGUCACCGGGCCGGGAAUCGGGAGCUGCCGGGGCCCCGCGGCUCCACCUCCCGCGUGGGAGACACCAGGGACGCUCGGCCCCAUCCCGGGAAGCUGAUGCUGUGCCCCCGCAGAGGGUCAGUGCCUAAACCCACUGUCAGAGCCACGAGACCCCCGGCGGGUCCUGCACCGAGGGGAGGGAAACAAACCAUCCCCUGCGCCUGCCCGGGCAGGGUCCGCGCCGCAACUCCAGGCACCAGAGCCCGCAGCGCAGGGGCGAAGGGAGCCAAUGGCCCCGGUUCACCCAGUUCUGCCCCGGUUCUCACCUGUUUCCCACCACUUUUGCCCGCUUUCCCUUACCCGGUCCCUCCCCUCUCCCGCCGGCUGUCAGGAACCGGGAGGGCGCCCGGGGACGCUGAGCCCGGCUCGGUCCCUACGGAGAGGCGCGGCUGCAAUGGGAGCAGCUCUAGCACGGCCCCCAGGCCUCCCGGAACGGGACCCGAGCCCCGCAGAGCCCCUUGGACCGGGACCGGGACCAGGACCGGGACCGGGACCACGACCGGGACCGGGACCGCGACCGGGACCAGGACGGAGAUGCCGCGGUUGUGGCGCCCUCGCGUGGCCAACGCGGGUAUGGCAGGCGGGUCGCCCCGCACCAGC
rnacentral:lncRNA from 1 species